AUGCAUCCAUCCGUGAGGUCCUGGGUUCAAGCCCAGCUCUCCCUCCCCUUUUCAUUUUUGUUGUUGUUGUUUCAGUUAUUCCACAUGCACACUCACCCUUGCUGCAUCAGCAAGUUUCGCUGCUCAUUGCGUCCAGCCACGGCCACAGAGCAAGCCAUCUCUGUUAACGUUUUCAGUUUCGUCAGAUCAACGCCAGAACAUAAACUCUCUCACAUCCCUAAAAAAACUCUCUCACGAACUCCGCACGAUAUCCUCGGUCCACCCCACCCCUGCUCCUCUCCCCACGAUCUCCUCGCCGCCGCCCCCACCAACGCCGGCCGGUUCCGGCGAGCACCGACCGCGGGCAACACCCCACCUCCACCUCCUCCCCCUCCCUUCCCCUUCCUCCUCCAUCCGUCCCUUCUCUCUCCUCCUUCCUCCUGGCGGUCGGCGAUGGGCGCGGAUGAGGAGGAGCACCAGUCCCCCGCGCGGAAGCGCGAGCGCAAGGAGGGGAGGAGCCCGCGGCCGCCGAUGAGAAGCGCUCGCACACGACGGACGAGUCAGAGAACGCCUUGCUGCUGGGGCUCGCCAACUACGCAGAUGAGGAGGAGGAGCGCGGGGCCCCGAGGGGGCACGCGAAUGGCCUGCCCCGGGAGGAGGAGGAGGAAGACGAUGAGGAUGAGGAGGAGGAUGAGAGGAGGGCUCCGGAGAGGCGGCCCAGGCAGGUCGAGCUGUGCCGGGACUGCCCCUACCUCGACAUCAUCAACCGACAGGUUUGCAAGAGAGCGGGUUAAAAUUCUGGACAAGAACAAGCAAUGGUCAAGAGCUCUAGAUGGCUCCAAUUAUUUACCUGGAAUGGUUGGUCUUAACAACAUUAAAGAGACUGACUUUGUGAAUGUCACAAUACAAUCACUGAUGAGGAUUACCCUUCGAGAAAUUUCUUUCUUAUACUUGAAAAUUAUCAGCAUAGCAAAUCCCCACUGUAGAGUUUAUGUCAUGGCUCUUGAACACACUGCAUGUGAAGCUAAGAACUUCAAAGAAGAAAAAUAUAAGCUAAGAACUCCAGAGAGGCGGCCCAGGCAGGCCGAGCUGCACCGGGACUGCCCCUACCUCGACACUGUCAAUCGACAGCAAAGCCUCUUCGUUUCGAGCAGUAAUGUAGCCCUGUAUUGGUAA
rnacentral:rRNA from 1 species